UUUUUUAGAGGGGGGCAUUGAAUUAGAUAAUAAUGUUAUUAACUUCUAAAAGAAAUUGUUUAACUCAGACAACAAUUGAAGUUAUAGUGAUCUGGUGGAGAGAACUAUCCCACAACUUAUAACUCAUGCAAAUAACGAAUAUCUCAGGAAGAGAAAAUUAAGAAUGCUAUGCACAAUAUGGAUGGAAAUUUGGCUCUAGGCUAUGAUGGCUAUGCAAAUGUUUUUUUCCAAGGCUAUUGGGAUAUAGUAGGGACUUGUGUGAUCAAUUCAGUGAAUC
rnacentral:lncRNA from 1 species